GGGGGUGACCCGGUUUCGACGGAGUGAGCGGGAUUAGGCCUGCGUGCCGAGGUCUCCGACGAUCUCGUAAAAAAGUCGGAAAACCUAAAAUAAAUGGCGAAAAUAACUUUGCCAUGGCUGCCUAAUUAAAUUAGGUGCCCGUUGCCCUGGCUUUUACCUUUCGGGGCCAGGUGUCAGCGUCGAUUAGGAAGGUGCUCUCCCGAGGGACCGUCUGACCCGACGGAGAAAAGACUAAUCAGGCUGGGUCAAUCUGCGGUUCGCCGUUAUGUGCUGGAUUGACCGAGAAAAUAACAUAAUGGCUACGCACGUAGAUGGUCUGGUUGCGUCGCUUUCGGACGGGGGUUCGAUUCCCCCCACCUCCAA
rnacentral:tmRNA from 1 species